rnacentral:lncRNA from 1 species
UGGUGGUACCUAUUGCAAAGAGAGCGGAACUUUAGUUCCACGUCGGUUGUUCAGUUAGGUUACCUUAUCUUAUAAGGCUUCGAAACCCUCCAGCUCCUUGAGAGACGUCUUUUGGCCCGCGAAACAUAGCUCUGAAGGAUAAAAUCGUGUGGGUACGCCCAAAGCGGACAACAUCUCUCCUACUGGGUGGGGCCACCUUAUGCCCACG